rnacentral:rRNA from 1 species
UACGAAGGGUGCAAACGUUGCUCGGAAUCAUUGGGCGUAAAGCGCACGUAGGCGGUACUACAAGUCGGAUGUGAAAUCCUUAGGCUUAACCAAAGAAGUGCAUUCGAAACUGUAGAACUAGAGUAUGUCAGAGGAUGGCGGAAUUCCCGGUGUAGAGGUGAAAUUCGUAGAGAUCGGGAGGAACAUCUGUGGCGAAGGCGGCCAUCUGGGACAAUACUGACGCUGAGGUGCGAAAGCGUGGGGAGCAAACAGG